UAAGGAAUAUUGGACAAUGGGCGCAAGCCUGAUCCAGCCAUGCCGCGUGAAGGAUGAAUGUCCUCUGGAUUGUAAACUUCUUUUAUUUGGGACGAAAAAAGAGCAUUCUUGCUCAUUUGACGGUACCAAGUGAAUAAGCAUCGGCUAACCCCGUGCCAGCAGCAGCGGUAAUACGGAGGGUGCAAGCGUUAUCCGGAUUCUCUGGGUUUAAAGGGUGCGUAGGCUGGUAGGUAAGUCAGUGGUGAAAUCUCGGAGCUUAACUCCGAAACUGCCAUUGAUACUAUCUAUCUUGAAUAUUGUUGAGGUUUGCGGAAUAUGUAAUGUAGCGAUGAAAUGCAAAGAUAAGACAUAGAACACCUAUUGGGAAGGCAGCAGGCUAAACAUAUAAUGACGCUGAGUCACGAAAGCGUGGGGAUCAAACAGG
rnacentral:rRNA from 1 species